UAGGGAAUCUUGCGCAAUGGGCGAAAGCCUGACGCAGCGACGCCGCGUGCGGGACGAAGGCCCUCGGGUUGUAAACCGCUUUCAGCAGGGACGAAGCGAAAGUGACGGUACCUGCAGAAGAAGGUCCGGCCAACUACGUGCCAGCAGCCGCGGUAAUACGUAGGGACCGAGCGUUGUCCGGAUUCAUUGGGCGUAAAGAGCUCGUAGGCGGCCACUCAAGUCGAAUGUGAAACCUCGAGGCUCAACCUCGAGCCUGCAUUCGAUACUGGGCGGCUAGAGUCUGGUAGGGGGAUCUGGAAUUCCUGGUGUAGCGGUGGAAUGCGCAGAUAUCAGGAGGAACACCGGUGGCGAAGGCGGGAUCCUGGGCCAGUACUGACGCUGAGGAGCGAAAGCGUGGGGAGCAAACAGGAUUAGAUACCCUGGUAGUCCACGCCGUAAACGAUGGGCGCUAGGUGUGGGAGGUCAUCGACUCCUUCCGUGCCGCAGCUAACGCAUUAAGCGCCCCGCCUGGGGAGUACGGCCGCAAGGCUAC
rnacentral:rRNA from 1 species